UUAGGCAUAUUUAGUUUUUUGGAUGAUUUGCACUCAUUCUUCAUGAAGAUUCAUGC
rnacentral:tRNA from 1 species